CCUACGGGAGGCAGCAGUGGGGAAUAUUGCACAAUGGGGGAAACCCUGAUGCAGCGACGCCGCGUGAGUGAAGAAGUAAUUCGUUAUGUAAAGCUCUAUCAGCAGGGAAGAAAAUGACGGUACGUGAGUAAGAAGCUCCGUCUAACUACGUGCCAGAAGCCGCGGUAAUACGUAGGGGGCAAGCGUUAUCCGGAUUUACUGGGUGUAAAGGGAGCGUAGACGGCAGUGCAAGUCUGGAGUGAAAGGCGGGGGCUCAACCCCCGGACUGCGCUGGAAACUGUACGGCUGGAGUGCAGGAGAGGUAAGUGGAAUUCGUAGUGUAGCGGUGAAAUGCGUAGAUAUUAGGAAGAACACCAGUGGCGAAGGCGGCUUACUGGACUGUAACUGACGUUGAGGCUCGAAAGCGUGGGGAGCAAACAGGAUUAGAUACCCGAGUAGUC
rnacentral:rRNA from 1 species